ACUAGAUUGUCCAUACACAUAAACGUAGA
rnacentral:piRNA from 1 species